rnacentral:rRNA from 1 species
GAUGAACGCUGGCGGCGUGCCUAAUACAUGCAAGUCGAGCGAACAGACGAGGAGCUUGCUCCUCUGACGUUAGCGGCGGACGGGUGAGUAACACGUGGAUAACCUACCUAUAAGACUGGGAUAACUUCGGGAAACCGGAGCUAAUACCGGAUAAUAUAUUGAACCGCAUGGUUCAAUAGUGAAAGACGGUUUUGCUGUCACAUAUAGAUGGAUCCGCGCCGCAUUAGCUAGUUGGUAAGGUAACGGCUUACCAAGGCAACGAUGCGUAGCCGACCUGAGAGGUUGAUCGCCCACACUGGAACUGAGACACGCUCCAGACUCCUACGGGAGGCAGCAGUAGGGAAUCUUCCGCAAUGGGCGAAAGCCUGACGGAGCAACGCCGCGUGAUUGAUGAAGGUCUUCGGAUCUUAAAACUCUUUUAUUAGGGAAGAACAAAGGGGUAAGUAACUAUUCACGUCUUGACGGUACCUAAUCAGAAAGCCACGGCUAACUACGUG